rfam:Trichobilharzia regenti genome assembly, scaffold: TRE_scaffold0005658
AUACAGCUGGCGAGUCCCAAAUACGACGAAAUGUGCAUCCUGGAU